rnacentral:tRNA from 1 species
GGGGAUGUAGUUCAUUGGUAGAGUGCUUGCCUGGCAUGCAGGAGGUCCUGGUUCAAUCCCCAACUCUU